AUUGAACGCUGGCGGCGUGCCUAAUACAUGCAAGUCGAACGCAGUGGGGACGGGUGAGUAACACGUGGGUAACCUCCCAUCAGAGGGGAUAACACUUGGAAACAGGUGCUAAACCGAUACUGAUGGAUGGACCCGCGGUGCAUUAGCUAGUUGGUGAGGUAACGGCUCACCAAGGCCACGAUGCAUAGCCGACCUGAGAGGGUGAUCGGCCAAACUGGGACUGAGACACGGCCCAGACUCCUACGGGAGGCAGAAGUAGGGAAUCUUCGGCAAUGGACGAAAGUCUGACCGAGCAACGCCGCGGGAGUGAAGAAGGUUUUCGGAUCGUAAAACUCUUUUGGUAGAGAAGCGGUAUCUAACCAGAAAGCCACGGCUAACUACGUGCCAGCCGCCGCGGUAAUAC
rnacentral:rRNA from 1 species